rnacentral:rRNA from 1 species
GGGAUUAGUUUGAUCCUGGCUCAGAUUGAACGCUGGCGGCAGGCUUAACACAUGCAAGUCGAGCGGGCGAGGUUGCUUCGGUAACUGAGCUAGCGGCGGACGGGUGAGUAAUGCUUAGGAAUCUGCCUAUUAGUGGGGGACAACAUUCCGAAAGGAAUGCUAAUACCGCAUACGCCCUACGGGGGAAAGCAGGGGAUCUUCGGACCUUGCGCUAAUAGAUGAGCCUAAGUCAGAUUAGCUAGUUGGUGGGGUAAAGGCCUACCAAGGCGACGAUCUGUAGCGGGUCUGAGAGGAUGAUCCGCCACACUGGGACUGAGACACGGCCCAGACUCCUACGGGAGGCAGCAGUGGGGAAUAUUGGACAAUGGGCGAAAGCCUGAUCCAGCCAUGCCGCGUGUGUGAAGAAGGCCUUUUGGUUGUAAAGCACUUUAAGCGAGGAGGAGGCUACCUGGAUUAAUACUCUGGGAUAGUGGACGUUACUCGCAGAAUAAGCACCGGCUAACCCUGUGCCAGCAGCCGCGGUAAUACAGAGGGUGCGAGCGUUAAUCGGAUUUACUGGGCGUAAAGCGUGCGUAGGCGGCUUUUCAAGUCGGAUGUGAAAUCCCUGAGCUUAACUUAGGAAUUGCAUUCGAUACUGGGAAGCUAGAGUAUGGGAGAGGAUGGUAGAAUUCCAGGUGUAGCGGUGAAAUGCGUAGAGAUCUGGAGGAAUACCGAUGGCGAAGGCAGCCAUCUGGCCUAAUACUGACGCUGAGGUACGAAAGCAUGGGGAGCAAACAGGAUUAGAUACCCUGGUAGUCA